AUGAAAUCUACUCCAACAGCCAGCAGCAACCAGUGUACAGACCAGACACCAACUAUUGCCAAGAAAAUGGAAAGGAUGGAUCUGAGUCUGCUCCCUGCAUUGACUGAAUUUCUGCAUUUUUGAUGAAUUACUGUCUUGCCAGCUGCUACCUGAGAAAAGUGGCUGCACAUGCCUGAGGUGACCAGCCUUUCCUGGUGUCUUUAUGGAAACACCAUGCCUUGUAAAUUGGAUUUCACAUGUGGUAAAGGUGAGGUGAAGAUACAUCCUCCACUGCUGUACCAGCCCAUAGAUCCCCAGUUCCUUGGGGAUAACGAGGUUGAGGCGUAUUUUCACCUAUCGGAAAUGGGAAAACAAAGCAGCUCAGCUCAUGGAACCUGAACUGAGGGAGACCCUGCACCACCUGCUAUUAGUGCUCUGUGCUCAGAGACCUCUCUCCACGCCCCACACCCCAAGAGGGAAUGGAAUGGGAAGGGAGAAGUUGGUGUUACUUUGA